rnacentral:rRNA from 1 species
GACGAACGCUGGCGGCGCGCUUAACACAUGCAAGUCGGACGGAAAGGCCUGCUUUCCCUUGUGGAUUGCGGGUACUCGAGUGGCGAACGGGUGAGUAACACGUGAGUGAUCUGCCCCCAACUUGGGUAUAAGCCUGGGAAACUGGGUCUAAUUCCCGAUAGGACUGCAGGGUGGUGCCUGUGGUGGAAAACGAUUUUCUAGUGGUUGGGGAUGAGCUCGCGGCCUAUCAGCUUGUUGGUGGGGUAAUGGCCUACCAAGGCGGCGACGGGUAGCCGGCCUGGAGGGGUGACCGGCCCAUUGGGAACGAGGAACGGCCCCGGACGCCACCGGGGGGAGGAGGGGGGGAAAAUGGACCAUGGGGGGGAGGCUGAAGGAGGGGCGCCGGGGGGGGGAUGAACGGCUUCGGGUUGUAAACUCCUUUCGACCGCGAGGAAGCCACCUGGUUGGAAGGGUGGUGACGGUAGUGGUAGAAGAAGCACCGGCUAACUACGUG